GUUGUGGGUGUCAGGUAUUGUGUCUUAGUGACAAGAAAGUAACCAAGACAAUAUCUAAAUCUAAAAAAGUUGGUCUCACAGUGGAGAAAACAGAAUAUUCUGCUUUACCAGAGGUUGAAGAGGGAAGGAGGGGAAAUAAGGAGAGGUUGGUUACAGUUAGAAAGAGUAAGUUUGGAUGUGCUACUGCACAAUAGGGUAAUGUGGAUAAUGAUAAUGUAUUGUUUCAAAAUAGCUAGAUUUUGGAUAUCCUCAACAAAAAGAAAUGAUGUUUGAGAUGCUCGAUAUGCUAAUUACCCUGAUUUGAUUAUUAUACAAUGUAUACUUGUAUGUCUCACAUUAUAUCCCACAAACAUAGAUUUAUGUGUCAAUUAAAAAGAAUAUAAAGCUUUUUAAAAAUGCAGUCUUUGGUUGUAUUCUUGAUCUCCUGGAUUGGUAUUGUUAGAGGAAGGAUACCCAGAACUCUGCGUUUUUAAUAUGGAAACAAGAACCAGUGCUGUGUCUAUGGGGCUGGCAGAGGCGCGCGGGGCGGCGCUGCGGCGCGUGCGUCACGGAGAGAGCGCUGGGUUGCAGCCCAUCUGGACCGAGAGGCGCGGCCCUGCCUCCCGCCGGCUGCAGCGGCUCCUGCGCUGCGUCCGAAGUGAGAGGCCUGGGCCGAGUCCGCCGCGGCCGCCGCCCAACUCAGGCCUAAGCAGGGCAGGUGUGCGGCGCCUCCAUCUUGGGAGGGACCCCGCCCCCACCCGCGAACCCCGCGUGGCAGCUGCCGCCCCCGCCCCACUGCAGCCCGCUCGCUCGCCGACCCGCAGGGCCCGGUCCCCGCUGCCCUGACGCCUGGAGUGCCUUCAGCCACCUGGGAACAGGCGCACAGCACCAUUGGCCCUUCCUUCCUAAACUGCAAGGAGGUGUCUCUGGCCCUUCCUUCCAGGUGCCUGCCCUGGGAUUCCGUCCUCUGUCCUGGUGCCCAGUUCCAAGCUGCUCUGUUUAACUCCAGCUAGGUGUGGUGGUGCAUGCCUAUAAUCCCAGCACUCAGGAAGAUGAUGCAGGAGGAUCAUCAUGUGUUCAAGGCCAGCCUGGACUACAUAGGAUCGAACUCAGGACCUUGCACUUGUGAGGCAGGCAGUGGAACCACUGAGCUAAAUCCCCGGCCCCCCACUGAUUGCUUUGGACUGCCACCAUCUGGGACGGUGAGAAAAUGAAAGCUGAGCAUGGUGGUCCACGUCUGUCAUCCCAGCACUCAGGAGACUGAGAUGGAGAAGGAGUCACAGCCCAGAGGACCCCCAGUGGAUAUGAGCCCAGAGCCCACACAGGGUCCUCCACAUGGUCCUGGACCACAGAAGGACACAAAGGGAAACCUGCACAACUCGAUCCAAGUGUGACGCUGAGUUAAUGGCGCUACACGGAUUUCUCCAUGGCAUCUGGCUUUGCGUUAGUAAGUCCUAGUCCCUGUCCAGCAGCGCUCUCUGAUCCUGUCCGUCCAUCUCUCAGUGUGGAGAUUCUGCUGUCCUCAGGAAAGAGGCUGAUAUCAGGAGAAGCUAGAGGACGAGUGACCAAGAAUCCUGCUGCACCUUUGUCCCUUUCCCUGAAAUCUCAAAUCACUCCAAAGCAAAGUUGUUUUGUUUUCUUUAAAGCUGUCCCCACGGAUUAGAAAAGACCAACAUGUCAUUGUCUAUCAUUUUCUUUCCUUUUUCUCCCUCUCCCCCACCUCCCUGGCCUGGGGAUGGAACCCAGGGCCUUCCCACUGAGCUCCAUCCCCAGCCCUUUUUAUUUUUUAUUUAGAGACAGGGCCUUGCUAAGUCACCAAGCUGCCCAGGCUGGGCUUGAACUUGGGAUUCUCCUGCCUCAGCCUCUCAGUGUGCUGGGAUGACAGUUAUGCGCCACUGUGCCGGGCUUGGCUCCAUGAUUCCAUAAACAUUUAUUUGGCACCUACUAUGGGCUGUGGGCUAAGCUGCUGGGCUGCAUCCAAGUGGGGGCAAAAAGAUGACCACAGAAUUACAGAGUAUAAUAUGACAUGCACUUGUUGAAUUUAGGAGCAGAAUAGAGCAGGGGAUAGAGACAGAACAGAGGGGAAAUGACUAUAUAUAGUCAGUCAGGGGAGGCGUGGCCUUAAUGCCAUGUGAGCUGAGGACAGAUGGAUGACACAAAACCAUUUGGGUGAAGGGGAGAUGGAACAAAAUCCCAGGAAGCCACGCAGCCCAUGCAAAGGCCCUGGGGCAGCAUGGAGUUCUAAGGUGUAGGAGCAUCAAGGAGCCCUUGCAGCUGGAACAGAGGGAGUGAGGGGCAGAGAGGGAGCAGGGGAGGCAGGGAGGGGAUGGCGGCCGUACAAAUACGUUUGGUCUGCAGGGAGGAUUUGAGGUUGGGCCCCAGGCAAGUGGGAGCCCUGGAGGGCUGAGGGCGGAGGGGGGAGGACCUGACUCAGUGCUCACGGUGCCCUCUGGUGGCAGCUGCGGGAGGACAGGCUGCGGGAGGACAGGCUGCGGGUGAAUGUCGUGCUGCGUAGCUGGCUCAUUGGGAUGAUUCCUUUGGUGCAGUAAAUACCAGCUCGCCCUCCAGCUACUUCCGCUGCAGUCUAAGGAGCACAGGAUGAUUCGAAAUCCUACUUUCUAUGUGACAACCAUGAGGCACAGAGAGGCCAAGCACCUCGUCCAGGUACACAGCUGGAGAGCAGCAAGGCAGCUCCUUCCUAAAUGCUCCCAUAGACAUUGCAGAUUCUCCAGGCAGAGGAGGUGAUGGGAGUGGCUGGAGGACAUGCCUAGUCUGGGGCGACUUCCUGGAGGUGGAGACAUUGAAACUCAGAGCUAAAGGACCAACUGGAGGCACAUAGCUGCCCUGGGGGAGAAAAGACCCACUGCGGAGUUGCAUGGACAAAGGCAGUGGAUGCGGCCUGGGAGCUGGUAGACGUCGUUUUCCCUGCCUGUCGCCUCCCUACACUCCCCACCUGACCCAGAGACCCCGCCCCACAGACUGGGUGGCUGUGCACUGACCCCGCCCUAGCCGCUACAGCUGGUAACAAUCCCCACAAAGGGGUCAUUAAGCCACCCAGCUGGGGUGGCCAAUAGCAGCAUAGGCACUAUUUUAAUUUUCCACUGAUUUGUCUGCAGUGGGUCCCAGCACUGGGCCAUGUGUGUGUCUGGGUGGGGGAGGGGGAUAUCAGGUCCUGGAGCUGGGAGUGGGGUGGGGGGCAAAGGACAGAAAGGGCUUGGGUGGGCGGAGGCCACUGGGAAGGUUUCUGGAGUCCAUAAAGCUCUGCUGUCCCAUCCUAGGGCUGCUCAGGGACAUGUGGGGCCCUUUGCCCUGAAUGCUGUGGGUGACCAGUUCUGUGUCAACUGCACUCACCUGUCCCAGCCCCAGCCAGCCAGCCAGCCACUUAUCCAUCCAUCCAUCCAUCCAUCCAUCCAUCCACCCA